GACCUUGUGGCGCAACGGUAGCGCGUCUGACUCCAGAUCAGAAGGUUGUGUGUUCAAAUCACGUCAGGGUCA
rnacentral:tRNA from 2 species